GAAAGAGUAACAGAGUGAUGUUAAUUGCUGCUUCUCUCUCUGUGCAGACCAACCAGUCAGUGUGGAGACCUGCAGGACUCUGACCAAUGAGCUGCAGAGCUGUUUCAAAAGAGCCACUCACCUGUACAGGAAGCUGAGUGGUUCCUCCACUGAUGACUCCGCCCCCGACCAGCAUCAGAUGGCUAGCCUCCUAUCAGAGGCUUUCCAGGCCAUGAGGGCGGAGCUUGACUCCCUCCCGCUCAGUGGGCCGGGCAUGCUGGGGGUAGGGGGGGGGCUUGGUGGAGUAGGGGAGGUGAAGACAGCCGCUCUGCUGGAGGAAUACUCACUGCUCCUGCUGCAGGCCGUACACAGGAGGAACAACAGCGGCCCCUGCUGAGUGACAACCCUCCACCUCCUCUUCCUCAUUAGUUUCAGAGACUGAACCUGGAGGAGCUUGUGUCCGUCAGUCUGAAGCAUCUUUAGUCCAGUGUUCAUUGUUGUAGAGAAGCAAAUUGUCGUCACACAGACUUCCUGUUUCUGAUGGAAAUGAUCAACACUUGUAUGUUUUCACUUCCGGUCUGUCCGGUUUAAAUCCAGCGACGGGUUUUUCCGUCAAUCAAAGAGGUCAAAGUUCAGUUUGAAAUAUUUUCAUGUUUUUCAAUUCAAUAAAAGUUUGAGGCUUCUCUCGAUGGUUGUGUUUUAAUAAGAGCUUGAAGCCGAUUGGUCGAGAAGAUGCUCUAUUUAUUCCAUCAUCCAGGUUUGAGGUUUUAUCCUCAGUGUGUUUGUGUCAGUGUGACGUCAGCUCACGAGGACAUGUAUGUUCACAUGAAAAUGUGUUUUUAUUGUGUUGAACAAAGAAUCAGAUGCAAAGUUUCAAACCUUUAGUGUUUUUAUACUUCACUUUAUAUGAAUACACGAAGCACUUUUUAAUAUAAUUCUUAAAAUUAUAGCCGCUCGGAUCCUUUGUGUCGUUUCCAUGGUUUUAUUUCAGUAAAUGUUCUGAAUUGUCCCAAAACCUUUUCAUUCACGUCACAGUGUUGUUUCAACUGAAGGAAUUAAAAGCACAAUGUUCACUUAAAA